rnacentral:lncRNA from 1 species
AGAACUUAAUAUGCUAAAUCCCUCAUUUCAUUGAUAAAAAGUUGACCAAUCUGGAAUCGACAUUAAAUAACAGGAAAUAAAAUUCACUAGUGGCCAUUAGCCUCAUUACAUUUGCAAAGCAAAAAAAAAGUAAAUUCCUAUCUACUUGGUCCCAGAAGGACCUUCCUCAAGUUGAAUUCUCUUGUUGAUCAGAUUCUCUAGUUCGCGUAGGUUCACCAGUAAAAAUGCCUUCUCCAGGUGUUCUUCUUCGUUUCCCUCAGCGUUAUGGCAGUCGGCGACUCUCUUCCACACUUUUCCUUCCAAUUCCAGCUGACUGUAUUCAAGAUAUUCCAACUUUUCGCUAGCUUUGGCGGCCUUCUCUUUCCACUCAUUGAUUUGGUCAUUUGAUGGAAGACUCUUCCACCAGUCUAGCAACAGUGGGGACGUGCUAAUCAUACUGAAGCCGGGGACCUCGUACCUCAUUUUGUACAAAACAAAAGGGUUAUACCCUACCCCCACGGAACUCGACUAUUUUAUACCAACAAUUAGCAUGAAAGCAUUUAGUUCUCCAAAUGAAUGCAUUGAACGUGGCGACGUCCGUUUGGGUUCUAGGGAAACCUAGUGACUUUGGAAAAGGCUAUCUUAAAGAGUCAUUAUGCGGACAAUAUAACUGACUCGGCUAGGUUUGACCAUGAUGCAUGCACAAUAUCAAUCAGAGUAUGGUUUCUAUAGGGUUUUAGACUAGUACCCUUGGCAAACAACUCAAGACGGAAAGGUGUGGAACCAUCGACUACACAAUUGAUCGAAUGGGUUUACCGCAAAUAUGCCUUUACCAGAUUUAGGGGGUGAUAAUAUCGAAAGAGCGCAACCAGCCAUAAUAAACUUUGCUAUAUGAUUUUGUUUGGCACGAGUGGAAUAUGAUAUUGAGCAUGAUUAUGCAACAGUUAAAGGCAUGUAGUCAUAUAUUUGCACGUUAAGGAAGCAGUAAAUACAACAGUCUCAGAAUGUAAAGCAGUAGUAAUGAAAAGCAGUAAAGAAAAGAAAAAAGAUAGAAGUCAGUUUCGAAAUUGAAAAGCAAGUUGCAUACUUAAAUGAAAUAAACAAAUAAUUGCGUGUAAAGAAGCGUAAAUUCAUAAUAAAAGUCUAUCAUGGUAAAAGCCUAAAUAUCUCUAGCAGAGUCGCCAUGCUGUCGCGCCUCUUUUUUCUCGUGAAAUCGAGUUUAUGACAUUUGGGAGGAGAACUCGUUCCUUUUAGGAAUUGGGUUUGGUUUGAAGAGCCGCCACUUAAUGAUUAAGGUGCAUUGGGACACCAAUAGAGUUUUAACUCUAAAUUUUUUUGAAUAACUAGAGAUUGGGUAAGGCUUGAAUUAUCCCAAGGGGAAGGUGUUAGAUACCCCUUAGAAUCCACUAGUGUGGUUCCCGGCCAGACUAUUUUGUGAAUUUGAAUACAAUUAGCAUAUAGACAAAUAAGGCUCAAAUAAGAGGGGAUUUCAUCAUAUAAAGGUUUACAAACAAAUGAAGUU